UACGGAGGGAGCUAGCGUUGUUCGGAAUUACUGGGCGUAAAGCGCGCGUAGGCGGCUUUGUAAGUUAGAGGUGAAAGCCCGGGGCUCAACCCCGGAACUGCCUUUAAGACUGCAUCGCUUGAAUCCGGGAGAGGUGAGUGGAAUUCCGAGUGUAGAGGUGAAAUUCGUAGAUAUUCGGAAGAACACCAGUGGCGAAGGCGGCUCACUGGACCGGCAUUGACGCUGAGGGUGCGAAAAGCGUGGGGGAGCAAACAGG
rnacentral:rRNA from 1 species